GACCGUGUAGCUCAGUUGGCAGAGCAUUGGGCUAGUAUUCCAAAGGUCGUAGGUUCGAAUCCCACCGUGGCCA